AUGCCCUGCGCUAGUCUUGGAGGCAGAGAUGGUGGACGGUGGUGACAGCACGCCGAAGAGGGGAGAGGAGGAGGACGAGGAAGAGAGCAUCAUUGGGAUUGUAGGUGACAUUCGAGGAGCGGGAAGCGGGCAGCGUCGUAGCAGCGAGUGAGAUCCAAGGAGGAGGGAAGUAUCAGGGUCACGGGUGGAGUUCUCUCCGUUUAAAUGAGAUCACAACCGUCUUUUUUUCUAACCCCAACGUAUUAGACGGUCGAAACCAUCUCGCGCUCAGCGAUAGCUAAUCCUGAUUUCGGACCCCAGCCCGUUGUGGACUAUUUAUAACCUCUUUCCCGGGCAAGCCACCGCUUAUACACAGGAGAGAGUGACAGAGGGAGGGAGGAAGGGAGAGAUGAUAAGGGCUUCACCGCCUCUCACAAAGGGGGAAGAAUUCGGAGGGAGACGAGAAGAUCUGGCCUAAUCGGCCGUCAAUUUGGCGAUCGGAUGGUCAGAUAUCACCCAGUUCUAAUCCUCGGGGCCUUUCCUCAUGGUUUCUUGAUCUGAUUUCCAGGACUUUGUUUCAGAGAGUGUACAACUAUAUCAUGUGGCCGACCUAGACACUAGAUUCGGGGCAUGGCACAUUUCAAGCCUGGAGUUGCCUGUGUAAGCAGACUAUUGAAAAAGACGAUAUGGAACAAGACAUCUAUCUGUCUCACAAUUGUAAAGAGGAAUAUUAAAGAGGAAUAUUGUAUAUCUCUCCCCUAUUUCUAUUAUGUUCCUCUGCUUUUGGUUCUGCAAGUUGCAUUGGAGGUUCUGAACUUGCUUUAUGUAAAUUCCCCGCUUCUUAUGUAAAUGGCUGUGUUCUUAAUAAAUUCUGAUGGAAGCCUGAGGCUUCUUCCAUUUCCAUCAAAAAAAUAAAAAAUUGUUAACUUCAUGAUC